AGGGCGCACGGUGGAUGCCUUGGUACUAGGAGCCGAAGAAGGACGGAACUAACACCGAUAUGCUUUGGGGAGCUGUAAGUAAGCUAAGAUCCAAAGAUUUCCGAAUGGGGGAACCCAACACCUUUCAUAGGGUGUUACCAAUGAGUGAAUACAUAGCUCAUUAGGAGGUACACGCAGGGAACUGAAACAUCUCAUUACCUGCAGGAAGAGAAAGAAAAAUCGAUUCCCUGAGUAGCGGCGAGCGAAACGGGAGGAGCCCAAACCAACGAGCUUGCUUGUUGGGGUUGUAGGACUAGAACGUGAGAAGAAAUCAAGAUAGCAGAAGUGGUCUGGAAAGGCCCAUCAAAGAAGGUGACAAUCCUGUACGCGACAUCUUGAUGAACUCUACUAGCAUCCUGAGUACGGCGGGACACGAGGAAUCCCGUCGGAAUCCGCCAGGACCAUCUGGCAAGGCUAAAUACUACCUAGUGACCGAUAGUGAACCAGUACCGUGAGGGAAAGGUGAAAAGAACCCCGGGAGGGGAGUGAAAGAGUACCUGAAACCGUGUGCUUACAAGUAGUCAGAGCCCGUUAAUGGGUGAUGGCGUGCCUUUUGUAGAAUGAACCGGCGAGUUACGUUUACAUGCGAGGUUAAGAUGAAGAGUCGGAGCCGUAGCGAAAGCGAGUCUGAAUAGGGCGCAUGUAGUAUGUGGACGUAGACCCGAAACCAAGUGAUCUACCCAUGUCCAGGUUGAAGGUGCGGUAAAACGCACUGGAGGACCGAACCAGGGCACGUUGAAAAGUGCUUGGAUGAGGUGUGGGUAGCGGAGAAAUUCCAAUCGAACUUGGAGAUAGCUGGUUCUCUCCGAAAUAGCUUUAGGGCUAGCCUCGGAAUCAAGAAUCGUGGAGGUAGAGCACUGUUUGGACUAGGGGCCCAUCUCGGGUUACCGAAUUCAGAUAAACUCCGAAUGCCAUGUAUUUAUAUCCGGGAGUCAGACUGCGAGUGAUAAGAUCCGUAGUCGAAAGGGAAACAGCCCAGACCACCAGCUAAGGUCCCAAAAUAUCUGUUAAGUGGAAAAGGAUGUGGGGUUGCACAGACAACUAGGAUGUUGGCUUAGAAGCAGCCAUCAUUCAAAGAGUGCGUAAUAGCUCACUAGUCGAGUGACCCUGCGCCGAAAAUGUAACGGGGCUAAACAGAUUACCGAAGCUGUGGAUUGGACCUUAUGGUCCAGUGGUAGGAGAGCGUUCUAAGGGCGGUGAAGCAUGAUCGUAAGGACAUGUGGAGCGCUUAGAAGUGAGAAUGCCGGUAUGAGUAGCGAAAGACGGGUGAGAAUCCCGUCCACCGAAUAACUAAGGUUUCCUGGGGAAGGCUCGUCCUCCCAGGGUUAGUCGGGACCUAAGGCGAGGCCGAUAGGCGUAGUCGAUGGACAACAGGUUGAUAUUCCUGUACUUCUAUAAAUCGUUUGAGCAAUGGAGGGACGCAGGAGGCUAAGAAAAGCGUACGACUGGAAGUGUACGCCCAAGCAGUGAGUCGGCUGAUGAGUCAAAUGCUUAUCACGGAUGCGACAAGCUGUGACGGGGAGGGAAGUUUAGUACCGAAGUUUCUGAUGUCACACUGCCGAGAAAAGCUUCUAGCAAGAUUUAUAGGACCCGUACCGCAAACCGACACAGGUAGUUGAGGAGAGAAUCCUAAGGUGAGCGAGCGAACUCUCGUUAAGGAACUCGGCAAAAUGACCCCGUAACUUCGGGAGAAGGGGUGCUGGUAGCAAUACCAGCCGCAGUGAAUAGGCCCAGGCGACUGUUUAUCAAAAACACAGGUCUCUGCAAAAUCGAAAGAUGACGUAUAGGGGCUGACGCCUGCCCGGUGCUGGAAGGUUAAGAGGAGAGGUUAGCCGCAAGGCGAAGCUUUGAAUUGAAGCCCCAGUAAACGGCGGCCGUAACUAUAACGGUCCUAAGGUAGCGAAAUUCCUUGUCGGGUAAGUUCCGACCCGCACGAAAGGCGUAACGAUCUGGGCACUGUCUCAACGAGAGACUCGGUGAAAUUAUAGUACCUGUGAAGAUGCAGGUUACCCGCGACAGGACGGAAAGACCCCAUGGAGCUUUACUGUAGUUUGAUAUUGAGUGUUUGUGUCACAUGUACAGGAUAGGUAGGAGCUGAAGAAUCCGGGACGCCAGUUUCGGAGGAGGCAACGGUGGGAUACUACCCUUGUGACAUGACCACUCUAACCCGCACCCCU
rnacentral:rRNA from 1 species